AUUCGCGGCCUAUCAGCUUGUUGGUGAGGUAAUGGCUCACCAAGGCGACGACGGGUAGCUGGUCUGAGAGGAUGAUCAGCCACACUGGGACUGAGAUACGGCCCAGACUCCUACGGGAGGCAGCAGUGGGGAAUCUUGCGCAAUGGGCGAAAGCCUGACGCAGCAACGCCGCGUGAGCGAAGAAGGCCUUCGGGUUGUAAAGCUCUGUCAGGGGGAAAGAAGGCACCUGGGUUAAUAGCCCAAGGGUUGACGGUACCCCCAAAGGAAGCCACGGCUAACUACGUGCCAGCAGCCGCGGUAAUACGUAGGUGGCGAGCGUUGUCCGGAAUCAUUGGGCGUAAAGAGCGCGUAGGUGGCUUGUCAGGUCCGAUGUGAAAUCCUGGGGCUCAACUCCAGGCGUGCAUCGGAAACCGGCUUGCUAGAGUCUGGGAGAGGAGAGUGGAAUUCCUGGUGUAGCGGUGAAAUGCGUAGAUAUCAGGAGGAACACCGGUAGCGAAGGCGGCUCUCUGGAACAGUACUGACACUGAGGCGCGAAAGCUAGGGGAGCAAACAGGAUUAGAUACCCUGGUAGUCCUAGCCGUAAACGAUGGACACUAGGUGUCGGGGGUGUCGACUCCCUCGGUGCCGAAGCUAACGCAUUAAGUGCCCCGCCUGGGGAGUACGGAAUCGUCCGACCCGCCAGGGCCAAA
rnacentral:rRNA from 1 species